rnacentral:rRNA from 1 species
UACAGAGGUCCCAAGCGUUGUUCGGAUUCACUGGGCGUAAAGGGUGCGUAGGCGGUCGGAUAAGUCUGAUGUGAAAUCUUCGAGCUCAACUCGGAAACUGCAUCGGAAACUAUUCGGCUAGAGGAUUGGAGGGGAGACUGGAAUUCUCGGUGUAGCAGUGAAAUGCGUAGAUAUCGAGAGGAACACCAGUGGCGAAGGCGAGUCUCUGGACAAUUCCUGACGCUGAGGAGCGAAAGCGUGGGGAGCGAACAGG